AGCGGUGUCCAUUAUUAUUAUUCCGUGGAUUUCCUCACUUGAAGACGACGACAACGACACCUUGAUAGAUACCGUUUUGACAAAAUAAAGAAUCCGGUAGUAAAGGCGUUUCUUGCACCAAAAACUAAAGGGGUCAAACCACCGAAGCCGAGCGAUAAUCCAAUUAAAAAAUUCGACUUUGGAGCAACAUUCAACGGUCACGUAUCUUUUUAUCACGUUCACAAUGGUUCUUCAGGACAUACCAUUGACCACGUUCGACGCCGUUCGGAGUGAAAUCACCUGCUGGUGCUGUUUUGCGCUUUGUGGACUUUCUCAAAAUCGCUUACCUGGCCGCAGAGCAAAGAAAAAUGUCGAAGUUUUUAUAAACUGGUCCGGGCGCUUUACAUUCGUGGAAAUUCUUAUCUACUUUUUCCUUAUUUUUCUUUUUAAAUAUUUUUAUUAAAACUUAUCCUACAAUUUCCAAUCAUCUUUUAAUGAAAAACUAAAAGAGAAAUCCUCAAUCUAAAAUUAACUAUUGUACUUUCUCGAUAAUAAAACAUCUUUUCUUUAGAAUUUUAUUAAAGAAAACUUAUAACAAAACGGUGACACAAUUAAAAUAAUUAUUCGUGUAUCAAGGCCGUGAGGUUUCUUUGAUCUCAUUGUCAGUCCUAAUUGAAAAUUAAGGUUACGAAAAAUUUGUUACUAAUAAUAUAGUUUUUAGACAAAAUCGGGCCGUAUGGUGGUGCAUUCUGAAAGAGACAACAUUCCAAGCAACGCGAAACGGUUUUCUUGGGUCGUUGUCCGCCCAAUAUGCUCUCCUCAUCGGAUGGCCGCGAAGGAGGAGCUCCAACGCCUUAAGACAGCGGCGAGGCCCGUAAAUGAGCGUCGCUAAUAAAAUGUUAAUCGAGAUUGUUGCUACUCUUGGUUACCACGAUGACGCGGGAGAGGCAAAUGUAGGUAAAAGUAACUAUAUAAAUAAAAAAAAAUACAUUUACUUUAAAGAAUUAUUUUUAAAUGUUUUAAAUUUAUUGUUUGAGACUGCAGAAUGCGAUGAAGCGGAAACGGCCACAGCAACGGCACAUUUUACGCGCGGUGUUUCGUUUGCCCUAUUUACGCGCGGAUAACUGUUCAACAUUUGAAAAUGGUUGUGUGGUUCUAUUCGAUGGCCGUUCAUUUCGUAAACGCAGCACCGAUUUAAUUUAUUUGUGCAGUUAGGGGGACUCGUUCUUGGUCGCCACACUAUCCAUAUGGUCUAUGAAGAAAAAGAAUAAAAUAGAAAUUUUCAUUAGAAAGGCAUAAAUUCAUUUAAAAUAUAUAUGUAUUCAAUUUUUUACCAAUUUCAUUCUCGUUUAUUCUUGAUUAUGAAACAAAUAUUAUAAAGGAUUCAGUUCGUAGUAAAAGGUAUACAUUCGUCAAAAAUAUACAUGUAUACAUGCGCAGUACUUCAAUAAAAGAAAACUCCGAGGGACGCCUCAAAAGAAAGACAGUAGAAUUCAAACGAGAAGCUAAAACUUCCCCAUGGAAGUUCCAUGUAAGUCUAGGAUCCACAUGGACACCAAGAAAUCUGAUUCCCUUCUUCGAAUUUAAAGACUCACCACUCUGUCCAUGUGUAAUUAUUACUAGUAAGUCAAUGCUUUGCCGAUAUGAACAUUAAAUUUUGUAAAACUGCGGCUUCCAUUCCUGAUUUAUAUAAAAUUGAACCCUGGGGAACACCACUCGUGAUACUUCCAGGAUUAGACAUAGCAAAAUUAAAUUUCACAUGUUUUCUGCAUGUAAGAUAUGAUCAUGUAAGAUUUACACGCUUCUGGAGCUAUAUUGUACGCAUAUAAUUUGCAAAUUAAAACUGAGUGACAAACAAAAAAAAAACUGAGUGGCCUUGGUAAGGUCCAAAAAGCUAGCUUUAGUGCACUGAAAGUGACAAUGAAAGCUAGUGUUGCAUAUUUUUAUUGAACUAAACCCGAUACUUUCCAGUUCUAGGUCUAGUGUUAGUUCUAGUUUUUCACUAGCACUAUCACUAGAGCUAUCAGAAGACCUAGAACCAUUCGGAUUUAGCCGUCUUGAGAGACGUGCGGC
rnacentral:lncRNA from 1 species